UGAUAACUGGGUGUUAAGCAAGACUUUAGCUCUGAUCCUGUGGUUGACUCAGCAGAGGGCCAAGUCACUGAAAACCUGCUCAAGAAGUUUAACCAUCAACAGGGGUCACCGCAAGCAGAGCAAAGUUGAGAGAGUGCAGAUGCAGACACACCUGCUGGCCAGGGUGCUCAUGUGAGGAUCUCACACUGACUCAACUGUAAAACCUAGGGCGAAUCUUUUCAUCUCUCUGUACCUCAGUUUUCUCACCUAUAUCAUACGUUGUUGGAGAAGGAGAUUUGGCCGAUGUGAGCACACAAACAACCCUAAGAGACAACAAACCAACUUCCAAAGUAUACUUUUAUUGCUAGAUUUUUGCUGGUAUACAAGAUGAAGGGUAAACUGCUAGGUUGCACGAAUUUUUCUCUCAAGCUGAUGUAACUGUUAAAUCUGAGCAAUCACAUCUUGUGGAUAUACUGAUACAUCCUGUGGCCAUAAUAUGUGUUUGACUAUUUUUCCUAUAUUUACUUGUGAUAUAAAUACUGUAAGAUAUACAGAUACAAAAAGUAAUGAGCAUGAGAGAAAUGAUCAGAGAGAGAGAACUAGAUAGAAAUUAAAUUCAGGCAUAAUCUCUGAAAAUGUAAGGGGACUUUUAAUAUGGUUGACUUUCAGUAAACCUUGUGUAAAGGUUUCUGGCUAGAGUUGAUGGCUUCAUUAUGUAUCUCCUGGGGCAUUUGUACCUCAAAUGCUAUUUAUAGCUUUAUGAAGCAGUGUGAACAAAAUUCAUUUGUCUCUAAAGCUUUGCAUUUAGAGUACACCAACUAUUGAGAUGGGGUGAUGAGCGUGAUUAACAGGGCUUACAUGUCCAUCUUAUCUCUACAGUACACAAUAUUAAAAGCCUUGACCGAGAUUUAGACCUUCUGUCAGUCUCUACUCUCUGUAAACUUUGUCACCCCUAACCCUGAAUUUGUACUUUCCUUCGUGUAGGGCCAAAACUGCCUAUUAAUACCUCUAUAAUAUUAUCCACUGCCUCAGCUCGACUUCUUUGAAAUCUUCAUCCACAUCUUCCACUCCUUCAACUCUCAGCAUUUUUGACUCUAGUACAUUGUAGAACACUACUUCCCAGCUACUGCAAAAGAAACAUGACCACAACACUCUCAAUCUGCUUAAACAUCUCCAUUAACUCUAUUCAUUUGAGAAAAUAAUUCAAAAUUGCCUGCCUGGCUUUUAAAAUCCUACAUGUAUUUUGUUCUUCAGUUACCUCUGUUCACCUAAUAUUAGCUGCCUCCAUGCACUUUCAUAAUCUCACCAUUUCUGGUGCAAGAGUUUUCUCUUCUGCAUUUCAGGAAAGGCCUUUCUGUAUAUCUCGGUCUCAUUGAGUCUCUAUUUCAAAAAAUCUCAGACAGAAGAAUGUCCUCCCUUCCCUAUACUUGUUAAUUUUUCUCUUUUUGUUGCUGGAAUUGAUUUAACUCUGCAAUUGCAUUAUUUCAUUUUUAAAGCACCAGGCAACAGUGUGUUCAAAAGAUGUUACAGAAUACAAAGUUGUAAUGUACUGAAACAGGAAAUAAUUUCAGAAUAGGAUGAUUCACCCUCUCUACAACCCCCAACUAAAAAUAAAAAAAGAUGAUUCACUGUAGAAAGUCUAAAUGAGGUUUCUCAAAUUCAUAUGCUCACUGGAUUAUCAUCU